AGGUGGAGCCUGCGGUUUAAUCGGACUCAACGCCGGGAAGCUCACCGGAUAAGACAGCGGAAUGAUAGCCGGGCUGAAGACUCUGCUUGACUAGCUGAGAGGAGGUGCAUGGCCGUCGUCAGUUCGUACUGUGAAGCAUCCUGUUAAGUCAGGCAACGAGCGAGACCCACGCCAACAGUUGCCAGCAUGUCCUCCGGGAUGGUGGGGACACUGUUGGGACCGCCUCUGCUAAAGAGGAGGAAGGAAUGGGCAACGGUAGGUCAGCAUGCCCCGAAUUAUCCGGGCUACACGCGGGCUACAAUGGUCAGGACAAUGGGCAUCAACACCGAAAGGUGAAGGCAAUCUCUUAAACCUGUCCUUAGUUCGGAUUGUGGGCUGCAACUCGCCCACAUGAAGCUGGAAUCUGUAGUAAUCGCGUCUCAAAAUGGCGCGGUGAAUAUGUCCCUGCUCCUU
rnacentral:rRNA from 1 species